rnacentral:rRNA from 1 species
GGUUUCAUUGUUAAUUAUAAGAGAUCUAACCUGCCCACUGAAAAUUUUAAAGGGCCGCAGUAUUUUGACUGUGCAAAGGUAGCAUAAUAAUUAGUCUUUUAAUUGAAGGCUGGAAUGAAUGGUUGGAUGAAGUAUAAACUAUUUUAUAUUAAUAAAUUGAACUUAGAUUUUAAGUAAAAAGACUUAAAUUAAAUUAAGGGACGAGAAGACCCUAUAGAGUUUAAUAAACAUAUUUUUAAUUAAGUUUAGUAUAAAUUUUUAAUUAUUAUCAUUUGUAUUAUUUAAUUGGGGUGAUUGGAAAAUAAAUAAAACUUUUCUUUAAAAUAAAUAUUUUAAGUAAAUAAAGGAUCCAUAAAUAAUGAUUAAAAGAUUAAAUUACCUUAGGGAUAACAGCAUAAUAUUUUUUGAAAGUUCAUAUUUAAAGAAGUGAUUGUGA